UACGGAGGGUGCGAGCGUUAUCCGGAAUUACUGGGUUUAAAGGGUGCGUAGGCGGCCAUGUAAGUCAGGAGUGAAAGUUUGCGGCUCAACCGUAAAAUUGCUUUUGAUACUGCAUGGCUGGAAUCAGGAUGAGGUCAGCGGAAUGUGGCAUGUAGCGGUGAAAUGCAUAGAUAUGCCAUAGAACGCCAAUUGCGAAGGCAGCUGGCUAGACCUGUAUUGACGCUGAGGCACGAAAGCGUGGGGAGCGAACAGG
rnacentral:rRNA from 1 species